GAAAGACCCCGUGAACCUUUACUAUAGCUUGACACUGAACAUUGAGCCUUGAUGUGUAGGAUAGGUGGGAGGCUUUGAAGUGUGGACGCCAGUCUGCAUGGAGCCGGCCUUGAAAUACCACCCUUUAAUGUUUGAUGUUCUAACGUGGACCCGUGAUCCGGGUUGCGGACAGUGUCUGGUGGGUAGUUUGACUGGGGCGGUCUCCUCCUAAAGAGUAACGGAGGAGCACGAAGGUUGGCUAAUCCUGGUCGGACAUCAGGAGGUUAGUGCAAUGGCAUAAGCCAGCUUGACUGCGAGCGUGACGGCGCGAGCAGGUGCGAAAGCAGGUCAUAGUGAUCCGGUGGUUCUGAAUGGAAGGGCCAUCGCUCAACGGAUAAAAGGUACUCCGGGGAUAACAGGCUGAUACCGCCCAAGAGUUCAUAUCGACGGCGGUGUUUGGCACCUCGAUGUCGGCUCAUCACAUCCUGGGGCUGAAGUAGGUCCCAAGGGUAUGGCUGUUCGCCAUUUAAAGUGGUACGCGAGCUGGGUUUAGAACGUCGUGAGACAGUUCGGUCCCUAUCUGCCGUGGGCGCUGGAGAACUGAGGGGGGCUGCUCCUAGUACGAGAGGACCGGAGUGGACGCAUCACUGGUGUUCGGGUUGUCAUGCCAAUGGCACUGCCCGGUAGCUAAAUGCGGAAGAGAUAAGUGCUGAAAGCAUCUAAGCACGAAACUUGCCCCGA
rnacentral:rRNA from 1 species